UCCGUAGGUGAACCUGCGGAAGGAUCAUUACCGAGUGAGGGCCCUCUGGGUCCAACCUCCCACCCGUGUUUAUUUUACCUUGUUGCUUCGGCGGGCCCGCCUUAACUGGCCGCCGGGGGGCUUACGCCCCCGGGCCCGCGCCCGCCGAAGACACCCUCGAACUCUGUCUGAAGAUUGUAGUCUGAGUGAAAAUAUAAAUUAUUUAAAACUUUCAACAACGGAUCUCUUGGUUCCGGCAUCGAUGAAGAACGCAGCGAAAUGCGAUACGUAAUGUGAAUUGCAAAUUCAGUGAAUCAUCGAGUCUUUGAACGCACAUUGCGCCCCCUGGUAUUCCGGGGGGCAUGCCUGUCCGAGCGUCAUUUCUGCCCUCAAGCACGGCUUGUGUGUUGGGCCCCGUCCUCCGAUCCCGGGGGACGGGCCCGAAAGGCAGCGGCGGCACCGCGUCCGGUCCUCGAGCGUAUGGGGCUUUGUCACCCGCUCUGUAGGCCCGGCCGGCGCUUGCCGAUCAACCCAAAUUUUUAUCCAGGUUGACCUCGGAUCAGGUAGGGAUACCCGCUGAACUUAA
rnacentral:rRNA from 1 species